rnacentral:rRNA from 1 species
GACGUAGGGCGCGAGCGUUGUCCGGAUUUAUUGGGCGUAAAGAGCUCGUAGGCGGCUUGUCGCGUCGACUGUGAAAACCCGCGGCUCAACUGCGGGCUUGCAGCCGAUACGGGCAGGCUAGAGUUCGGUAGGGGAGAGUGGAAUUCCUGGUGUAGCGGUGAAAUGCGCAGAUAUCAGGAAGAACACCCGGUGGCUAAGGCGGGCUCUCGU